rnacentral:pre_miRNA from 1 species
AGAGGUCCUCUGUGGCCUGGGUGGAACGCUUGCCUCAUCGCCACGGUGACAAAGCAAGCAUUCCGCCAGGCCGCUCACGCUGCCUGC